rnacentral:rRNA from 1 species
AUUGAACGCUGGCGGCAUGCCUUACACAUGCAAGUCGAACGGCAGCACGGGUGCUUGCACCUGGUGGCGAGUGGCGAACGGGUGAGUAAUACAUCGGAACGUACCUUAUCGUGGGGGAUAACGCAGCGAAAGCUGUGCUAAUACCGCAUACGCCCUGAGGGGGAAAGCGGGGGAUCGAAAGACCUCGCGCGAUUAGAGCGGCCGAUGCCUGAUUAGCUUGUUGGUGGGGUAAAAGCCCACCAAGGCGACGAUCAGUAGCUGGUCUGAGAGGACGAUCAGCCACACUGGGACUGAGACACGGCCCAGACUCCUACGGGAGGCAGCAGUGGGGGAAUUUUGGACAAUGGGGGGCAACCCUGAUCCAGCAAUGCCGCGUGAGUGAAGAAGGCCUUCGGGUUGUAAAGCUCUUUGUCAGGGAAGAAAUCUUC